GGGGAUGUGGCUCAGUGGUAGAGCUCUUGCCUUGCACAAGGUACUAGGUUCGAUCCCCAGCACCACUA
rnacentral:tRNA from 1 species